UGGGAGGAAAGAAGUGAAGGCUGUAGUCAGUAUGUUUUGUAUGAGAGAAGAAUACAGGAAAAGAAAAAAAGGCAUUAGUGUGCAAGCUGUGUGAGCAGGACAGACAGCAAGGUCAGUAACUAUGAAGGAACCCUCAGACACAAGAGCGGGUGGGUGUGGGCACCGAGCAGAACAUUUGCAGAGGACUUCCUUUUGCUCAUGUCGCCUCAAAGACCUUGGAGUUUGUCUCUGCUCACCAGUUCAGUGUUGCAGCAUCUCCCAUGUGCAAUGGACACAGCAAGGGUCUACCUUGGUUUAAAGCCAUCUAAGACUCCGGGGAUUCAGUGUGCAUCACCUCCAUCUCUUCCCCGAGGUCAGUAACUUGAUUUUUCUUUAUAGCAUUGGAAUAUCUUCCAGAGUUAUGAUUUUUCUUACAGUUUUAAGUUAUUCCUUUGAAGGGGAGCAAAUGUCUGUCAGUGCUGAAGAGUGUAGACAGCUACAACUUUGGAUUAAUAAAAAGCUCAUCGGUUCCAUCUUUAGUCAGUUAGUCGGUGUGAAACUUGGGCAGCUACUCCUUUUGGCUUUAGUCACAGGCCCUGAAGAAAGGAUAAUUUACAUCUACAAGGAAAGGGAUGCUUCUAGCAGACAGACUCACUAUAAGGCAUCUUGCCUAGUCCAAACUUUUCUACAGAGCAUCAAUGCCAUGACUCCUCUCUAUGCCCAUUCUAGCACUGAGCACUGGAGUUGGCACCCUGUGUGUCAGAAAUAAGGAAGGCUGACAGGAGGCGUGGAUGAAGGGUGCCAUGACUUAGGGAUGGAUGAAGAACAAACACAGAGGCAGAAAAUCUGUCUACAGUGGUCAUGGUAUGGUAUGAGGUUCUGUGACAAAAUUGAGCUUCCUUUUAUAAUACUGCAGUGUUUUAAAUUUAACCUUUCUACAUUGUGUCAAGAAUGUGAACCACAACUCUUUAAGGCUGCCUGUGAGAAACUAUUAAAUUAACAGACUUUUCUUUAAUCAGGAAAAAAGCCCCAAGAAAGACGUCACCAAAUAAGCUUUAUUAUAAACUUUACAGAGGGUCUGGGAAAGGUGGAGGGAUAUGCUAACUAGAGGGGGGAUUUGAGGGAGCCAGUUAUGUGUGAUAGGUGCAAGAGUUUGUUUUCAGUGUUUAUGGCUGCAAAUGUGGAAGAAGGGACUUGAAAAGCUAAAAGUUGGGGUUUUGUUUUCCCACUGAGUCUAGUCUGCACUGCCAGUGUGUGCAUGGGCUUAAGGUCAUGACCUGGAGCACAGGUGGCCUCUUAGGCCUCUUAGGGCCUCCUUGAAUAAAACUGACUCUCCCACUCCUGGCAGUCAUCAGUUGCCAAUUGGGGUUGAAACACCAUGCCCAACUCCCCCCCUACCAUGCUGGGCCUUUGCCUGACUUGAGCUUUCGAAGGUCUUGUUCAGGCUACCACAAGUGGUGUGAGCUCAUAUGUGCAACUGCCCUGAUGUGUGUAGAAGACAGUGAUUCAUUUCAAUUAUCCACCAUCUCUGGCUCUGCAGUCAUUCUGCCCCCUCCUCUGUGAUGAUAGCCAGCCUCAGUUGGGGAUGGGUUGAGAUGCAGAUGCCAAGUGCUUUACUCAUAAUCUCUUUUUUCUAUGAGUUGUGGGUAGUGUGCACCUAAAAUCCUAUCAUUUGGGAUGUGGAGGCAAGAGAAUCGGGAGCUUAAGGUCAUCUUCAGCUACUCAGAGAGUUAAUAGUCAGCCUGGACUAAGGGACAACCCGAUCUCAGAAACAGAACAGAGCACAACUAAAAGAAAUUAUGAAAGUACUCUAUUUAAGGAAAGAACACUGAAAGCAAUAGCCACUUUAUAUAGUGUGCUCUGUGUGUGUGUGUGUGUGUGUGUGUGUGUGUGUGUGUGUGUGACAAUGUAUACAUUAUACUGAGUCUGGUAUUAGCCAGUUUCAGUUCAUCUAUCCACUAGGGAGUCUGGAACUCAGCCAAUAACUAAGACAACUGAAAUUCUGAAAACACAGUCUGGAUUCAUGAGAUGCUUCUCCUUGGAUGCCAUGCCUUUUAUGUAAAAUGGAGGUCAUAGUAGAGAGCAGUGAAUGGAAGAAUCUUGUCAUUAGCACUGAAAGUCACAAUUCUCACAAAACUGGGCACCAAAAUGUCUCUUGAUUAAAAGAAGACCCUCCUUAAAGAUGCUUUGACUCCCUUCCCAGAACAGGACAGAUCAUUUAUUUCUGGACAGCACUAAUGGCUGUCAGCCCACCUUUACAUCUAUCCAGUUUGAUUAAGGUGAUGCUCCUUUGUACAUAAUACAUGCAUAAGCAUUAUUCUUUCAGUCCUGCUUUAUCAAAGCAAACAGUUGAACCUAAUGGAGAAUUCAUCUCAUGACAUUCUGCUUUAAGAUGGUGGAAAAAGACUUCUGUCUGCAGCAGACCCUCUACUUGAAUCUGAUUGUUCUUGUUAGUCAAAACCACCUUUAACUGUUAUUCCAGAUGUCUUCAACUGACUUAAGUGAGUUACAACGUAUUUAACUUCACAGAUGCCUGUCGGUGCCCACAUUCACACAGGUUGGCUCUGAAGCUCAGCUGCACUGGGCUGACCCUACUUGUCUUGACCCUGGUUGGGAUAAGAUGAGUGUUUUAGGUAAGUGAGGCAUGAACUUGCGCUUCAGAAUUCUUCCUCUGUUUCCUUCAUAAAUAUCUGUGCCUCUACACAUGAUAUGACCUCCUUGAUUCCUGGGGAGGAUCAAUGACGUGAGUAUGUCCAGGACAGUAUUCCAUAACCAGUGAGAAAUUUCACAUAUCCUUCAUGCUUCCAAAUUACCCAGAGACCCAUUAGAGGCUCUUACACACGAAAGGCUCUCUAAGAGACCCAAGCGUGACAAAGAUGGCGCCAGCAGAUUCUGUCCUUUCCCUGUCCCUCUCCCUUGCUAAAGCCCCCAAUGUCCAUUCCUUUAUUCAGCUACUUCCUAAUGCCUGACUUAUUCCUGAGGCUGAUCACUGAGGUCCAGCUUUCAAAGCAUCAAGGUCCCAUCAUCAAAAUCCAUUAUUCGACUAUUCUGACUAACGUGCCAAUCAGGACUUCCCAACGAAUCCUAGCACAGACUUCUCCUUUUUUUCCUUAAAAGCUCACUCUUGUAAAAACAUCUGAUGCUGUCUUUGCCUGAUCCAGAGGCAACCCCACCCUGAUCCCUCCAGAGUAAUAAAUGUUCUUUGUGCUGAGAAUUUGGUGUCUGGUGUGUUCUGAGCCAAGUGCCGCCAAUUUACACACUAUACACAUGCACUCGGAACCUAGAAAAAUAAGUUAUAAUUGUGACAAAAAUAUAACAAAGAAAACUGAAAGGCUCAAGUGUUUGGUUUAAGUGGCUUCUAAGCUCCGAUGGCACCAGCUGUCUUACAUGGAGAGGGUGUGCUAAUACUCAUUCUGAAGAUGAGGAUUCAGGUCAGUGCCAGUAAGUUAAGGGCUUCUGUAAGGCCAUUGGAUAGUAUGUGACUAAAUAGAGGUGCCAACCCAUGUGUUCUGUGUUUUUCUUCUUUGUUUGUUUAUAUAUUCUGUCUCCAAACUCCUCCCUAAGCCCAGUUUGCUAAUAUUUUAUUCUCAGUCCAGAAGUUCAGAUUUGUUUAACUAACUUGAUAUCCUGGAGUGAGAAUUGGAACACACCAUUUCCACCAUUCAUUUUGCCAUUAAUCCUCUGUUUUCUCAUUUAUCAGUGCGAGUCUUAAUACAAAAACCAUCAAUAGAAUCAUGCCGAGUGUUUAUUCAAGAGACCCUGGGUGAAACAACAGAUAGUCCAACUAAGUUAAAGUGCCCAGAAGACUGGCUUUCACACCGAGAUAAAUGCUUUCGUGUUUUUGAAGCAUGUGAGUUUGUAAGGACAAUGGUCAUGCCAUUUCGAGAAGACAGAAUUUUAGGGUAAUUUUACAUUCUUUUCACCUGCUUCCUCCAUGAUGUUCUCUGGGUAGAAGUUAACAUGGACAUCCCUCUUCCAGCUGAGCACACACACUUACUCUCAGCACUUUGAUCAUUGCUGAUUACAAAGCUAUGGACAUAGAAAACAGUAUGACAUCUUGACCUUUUACCAAAUGAACAACAAUAGGUUCCUCUUUUGGGCCCAUGAUGCCCAUGGCCCUGGGUUUAAUACAUUUAUAGCACCAAGUGUGAGUUCCCUCCUGUAGAGUAGGAGAGCUCAAAUCCAAUAGGAAACCAGUUGUUUACCCUCCAUAACCCUCAUACCGGUAUUGUAUGGGUGAUUAUCUUGUGUGGCUGAUUGAUGUUGUAGGGCAAGAGUAGUGAUGGCUUCUUCCUCAGCAGCCGACACAGUGCCUUUCAGCAUUAUGAAAGUUUACUAUCAGCUUAGUAGUUUCCAGGUCAAUUCCAGAUUGGUUAAUUUUAUUCUGAAAAUAUGUGGUAUUUUCAGCAAUAGGGCCUUGCCUAAUAGUAAUUGUGUAAAAUCAAGAAUAAUAGCCUAUGUUGUUUUGAGGACUUCUGGGGUAUCCCUUACAAGAAUUUUACAGUAUAUCCCAUGUUUGGAACUGAGGUAUUAGACAAUAAUCAUAUACACAUGCAAAAAAAUAAAAUUGCUUUCCAAGCAGCUCAUGUAUCUGUGACGCUUUAGUUUAAGAAGUAUUCCUUUCUUUUCUUUUGUUGGAUCAUCUUUUACUAUUUACUUUUCUCUAUGGUUAGCACCUGAAAAGUCCCAGUCCCAUCUCUCUUACUUUUUGCAUGGGAUCUUUCUCUGCGAUACAUUUUUGUCAGGUUGAGGUUAUUUUAUUUCUCAAACCAACUGUCUUCCUUCCUUUCUUUGUACUGUCUGGCAAUCCACAUAUGGUGUCCAUAGAUGAACUAGAACACUCCAUUCAUGCCCAUUGUUUUGCUUCAUUGACAAGAAGUAUCCUCUCUCUGGUGACCUUGGCAAGUAGGUCAUUCUUCCUUCACAGGGUCGUGAGCCAAAAGGUGCAGGGGACCAGAGGUAAAGAAGAUAGAACAGGGGAGCUUGAGCUCGGGAGGUCUUGCAGAAGCUAUGUCUUAUGCCAUGCCAAGGAAACUUGUUAAUAAAUAUAGCAUUUUGUAUGUUAUUUCCAGGGGGAGAGAGGGCACAGAGUCAGAAGAGAGCUAACAUACAAUAGGAUGAAAUCAGCAGGAAGCUAGCCAAGCAGUGAUGCACAAAGGGAACAUGGAGAGUCCAAGAGCAUGACAAAUGGAGCACACAGGGGUCUUGGGGCUGAUGACCUCCUAUUUAUGGGGAAAAAUGUCAAGUUCCCAGGAACUGAAGCAUUCAGUCAUUUGAGGCCCUAUCUUCAGGCCCUGACAGGCCUUGCCAAUUUGCCCUGGGGGCAAAGACUCAGAAUUAGAUUCCCUUUGUCCUUUCAUUAUGGCAUCUGAGAAAGCCUUGGGUAGGCCUGGCUCUCAACAGUGUGGCAAGUUUCUACUUAGAUGCCCUGCGAGAUGAAGUAUGGGAGUGGCCUCAGUUGCCUACUCCCUUCUCUGCAAUAUAUCGCCUUGGUUUGAAAUAGGCUUGGGUGCAACCUCCCAGGUAGUGUCUGAACUUUCCACAGAGAUGCUCUGCUGUAUGUGCCAAUGCCUCAAGCAACACCCCUGUGGAGCAAACAGCCCCUGUAGCUUUCUGAUGAGCUGUUCUGCUCAUGGCACCAACUGCUUUGCCUUUUGAGCCUGCAGCAUAUGAUCUUAACCCAUGGCUGCCACUUUCUGCCUCAUGUUUUCACUUUCUUGGAUAAAACUAUUCCUUUAUCAUGUUCCUUUCCACAUUUAAGAGUAUUAUUGCUUAUGUUUUACUCUAUUUUUUAUACAUCCUAAUUUCCAUUAAUAAUCUGGAAGUGUCUGAUAUAAAAAGAAGCUUCUAGUUAAAAAUUUAUCUUUCUUUAUUCUUGUGACCCUCAGUAUAACUUUUAUUAUUGCCAUACUCUAAAGCCCUCACAUAACUCACAUAACUCACAAUCACUCACCAUUUGACUUUGAUUUACGAUCUCCUUAUUGUACGCAACACCAUAUUACAAUCUCCUCUAUCCAUGCUCUGCCUCUUUCUCUGUGUGUCUCUCUGUAUCUCUGUUUCUCUGUCUCUGUCUCUCCAUUUCUCUGUCUCUGUCUCUGUCUCUGUGUGUGUGUGUCUUUCUGUCUUAUUGUGAGAAGAUUAAG
ensembl:lncRNA LOC100362418 killer cell lectin-like receptor subfamily B member 1C